CCGGCGCACGGGUGAGUAACACGUAUCCAACCUGCCGUCUACUCUUGGCCAGCCUUCUGAAAGGAAGAUUAAUCCGGGAUGGCAUCAUGAGUUCACAUGUCCGCAUGAUUAAAGGUAUUUUCCGGUAGACGAUGGGGAUGCGUUCCAUUAGAUAGUAGGCGGGGUAACGGCCCACCUAGUCAACGAUGGAUAGGGGUUCUGAGAGGAAGGUCCCCCACAUUGGAACUGAGACACGGUCCAA
rnacentral:rRNA from 1 species